UGAGUAGCAUGCACUCAUCAGAAGACAUUUCUUCCUCACUAACAUUCAUAUCAACCCCUAAACCUGCUUAGACAAAAGAGAAACUGCAGGAACAACUGUAGUGUUUCUGAGCAGGUUGCUUGCUGAAGAAUUUUAUUAAAUCCUGCAUUCAUUGUGGCAGGAAAACUGUGAGGAUAGAGUGAAUGACCAGAAAAAAACAGUGCAUGAAAGAUAGCUGCCUCAAUGGUGGAUACUUAAGUGCUAGGAUGGACACUUAUCUGCUGUAUCUACAGGGAAGGGCCACGGAUCAAACCCUUCAAGGCAACAUCAGAUCUAGUUGUGUUCCUGACAGGUCCCUGCUGCCAGCACCUAGAAUAUACUCAAGUCCAGUACUCAAUCUGGCUCCACUCAGGAAAGCAACUAUCAUGAUACUUUGGGGCUUCUAA
rnacentral:lncRNA from 1 species